AAAAUGUAAUUUUUUUUUAUCAGAUUGGAUCAGAUAUUUGUGGAUUUUGGGAGGACACCACAGAGGAACUAUGUGCAAGGUGGAACCAGGUCGGUGCAUUUUAUCCCUUUGCCAGGAACCACAAUGCUAUAGGAUUCAGAGCCCAGGAUCCAGUAGCGAUGGGAGAGAAAGUGAUAAGGGCUACACGACAAGCCGUGACUGCUCGCUACCAACUUCUGCCAUAUUUGUACACCCUCUUCUACUUGUCUCACACCACAGGCUCAACAGUA